AUGUCUCUGCCAAACCAUCCCGGCUCGGACAAACACUCUUCCAAGUGCGAUCCCCAGAGGCACCUAGGAGGCCAUCUCCGAGAAAGGCUGACUGUCAGCCCUCACCUCGGGCCUGCUGGCUCAGAGCCUCGGAGCACGGUGGCUCUGGAGUCUGGAUGUGAACUGCGUCCGCCCCUUCGCACAGGGCUCUUGGGUAAGUUAGGGUGGUUUUCCACAUAAACCUGUUUAACUUUCAAGCACUUACAUCAACUAAGAAUACUUCUGGCUGCAAAUAACAGAAAACCCAUGACCCAGAACUCAGAGGUUGGUUCUUAUCGGCUAUAGUUCACAGCCCGACAACAUCAAGACGGCGGUCUCUGUGGUUCUCCAGGCAGGGCUUCUCAAACCCUAAUGCGCACACACAUACCACUAGGAGAGCCUGUUAAAACGUACGUUUCGAUUCAGCAGAUCUGGAGUACAGUCCAGGAAUCUGCAUUUCUACAACCUGCUCCUCAGAGCACACUUUGAACAACAAGACACUUGGCCUUUCUCUCACGGCUACAAAACGACUGCUUCAGCUCCAGCCAUCACGUUCGCAGGCGAGGCACAAAGAGGCAUGAUAGAAGUGUGUGUCACCCAUAUCUACAUCUUUCAUUUAAGAAAACAAAGCCCCUCCAUGAGCCAGAACAGACAUCCGCGUAGGAUUCAUUGGUCUCAAAUGGGCCUUACAGCCACCCACGGCUUCAUAGGAAGAUGGAGAAAUGAGAAACUGGAUUGUUCAAGUUUAAGCCUUAAACCAAACACAACUCACCCAGAACUGCACCCUGCCACGCAGCAUAACAUCCAUUUUGCUUAGCAAGGAAGGAAAGGAUGGAUGUUGGGAAGCAAACAUCAGCCCAGCAGCACUCCACACCGCUUGUUAUGUGAAUGAAGCGCUUACCGCAAACUGAACGCCCUCCAGAUGGUGGCAGUUUUCUCACCCGCAUCAGCGUGUAUCGAGCAGGCCGGAGGCAGGUUCCCUUCCACAUCCCGUCACUCAGACCCCAAACAACCGCACCCAGAGUGGGGGUGGGCAGCUUUCCCAGGGCACAGCGCCUUUGAUUCCCUGAAGCUGGUGU
ensembl:lncRNA